CUUUUCUUUUUUUCUCGCUGUCGCUCUCACUCCUCGCUUUCGCGCGCGCUCUCUCUCUCUCUCUCUCUCUCUCUCUCAACUCUCGAUCCACCUCUCUCUCUCUCUCUUGGAUCUCACUGCAUCUGGGAUUGAGUCCAAAUGAUGGUUUGAAUUUAUUUUUUUUGGGAUUUUUGGAUCUGAUCUUUGUUUGAUUUGGUUUAUUGUUUUUUAAAUUGUCUCUUGCAUAUUGAUUUUGGCUUGGGUUUCCUGACUCUCUGCAUCCUAGCUCUCUCAUCUACAAGGUUGGGACUUCCUUUUGGUUGCUGAAAAAAAGGAGACAUUGAAUUUCAGUUUGUAGGCUAUUUUGAUAUCUGGAGAAAGUUGAAUUUUGGGGUUUUCUCGGACGUGAGUUGCUCUUUGCUCUGCCUUCCUUCCUGACAUCUGAAUGUUGGGUAUGCAGGUUUUUGGAGGAUUUCAACUUGGAUGCUCUACACGUUCAAAGUUGGAUGCAUAUUUUCAAAACUCUAGUUAGUUAUCUUUACUAUUUUUGGUAUUGUUUCACAUUAUAUUUUAGAUAUUGCGUUAACUUGUAAAUUUGAUUAAUAAACA